rnacentral:rRNA from 1 species
GACGAACGCUUGCGGCGUGCCUAAGAAAUGCAAGUCGAGCGAGAACCAACCUUCGGGUGAAGUUCUAGCGGCGAACGGUCGCGUAACACGUAAGCAACCUGCCCUAAAGUUGGGGAUAGCCCUCCGAAAGGAGGAUUAAUACCGAAUGUGGACAUAUUUUCGCAUGUUUAUAUGUCUAAAGCAGCGAUGCGCUUUAGGAUGGGCUUGCGGCCUAUCAGCUAGUUGGUGUGGGUAACGGCCUACCAAGGCGACGACGGGUAGCUGGUCUGAGAGGAUGGUCAGCCGGAUUGGGACUGAGACACGGCCCAGACUCCUACGGGGGGCAGCAAUUAGGAAUCUUGCGCAAUGGGCAAAAGCCUGACGCAGCGACGCCGCGUGACUGAUGAAGUCUUUCGGGAUGUAAAGGUCUUUUGCAGGGGACGAAGGAAGUGACGGUACCCUGCGAAUAAGCCCCGGCUAACUACGUG